rnacentral:piRNA from 1 species
UAAGUGACUUACAGGGUCUUUGACUUC